CUAUAUUGUUCUAUGUUCUACAUUCUGUGUAAACACACUGUAGCAAAUCUCAUCGUCACUCAGGAUCCUAGCCAGCUGAAUGAGUCAGGUGCAGUGGCUCUGUAGAGAGUGCUGCCGCCUUAUGAUUCCCAGAACCUGAGUUUGAUCCUCACCUCCAGCACUGACUCUGCGAAGAUUGCACGUUCUCCUUAUUCCGAGGCUUGUCUGUCAACUCCAGGGCUCCCGUGUGUACAACAUCCUCACUUGGCUGGUUGACAGGAGGAAAAGCUCAAUUGCAGAAGUUUAUAUUCGGUGUCGGAGGCUCAAAGUUUUCGGACGGAUUCAAGAGUCAGCUGUGGUCGGGUGCUUCCAGGGUGCUGCAUCGGCAAGUUUGCGGCGCUGGGAAGAGUUUCUCCCUUCUACCAUCUGCGUGAGAUGAUGGGACUUUCGAGAGACUUUGAGACUUUUUUUAACCGUGCCCAUGGUCUGUUCUUUAUCAAAUUACGGUAUUGCUUUGCACUGUUGUAACUAUAUGUUAUAAUUAUGUGGUUUUUGUCAGAUUUUCAUUCUUGGUUUGUCUUGUGUUUCUGUGAUAUCAUUCUGGAGGAACAUUGUAUCAUUUCUUAAUGCAUGCAUUACUAAAUGACAAUAAAAGAGGACUGUGUGUCCUCAUAAUCUAAUCUAAUAACCUAAUAUCAUUAUGUAUUGCAUUGUAUUGCUGCCACAUAACAACAAGUUUCACAGCAUGUGCCAGGAGUAUUAACCCGAUUCUGAUUUGCCCAGCUUCAUCUGUUUCUUCCAGUGUCCGUCAGUCUCCAUCUCUCCAUUGGAACAUGACUUACUCACCUCUUUCCCUCAGCCCUGCUCCCUUCAUCUAUGCUUCCCCUCUCCCUUUUAUCCUCUACUGUUUACUCUAUCCCCCAAAACCAUAACUAUUCAUUCACGCCAAGGCUGCUCCCUGAAUGAGGCAGCUGUCAGCUUAAACAAGCUAACAAAUGUCAUUUACAGGGAUCCAGUAGCUGCUGUUGGGUGGCUAUAUAAAGCACACAGAGCAUUCUUUGAAAUACGUCUUCGCUUAUGCUAGAAGUAUUAGGUAAAAAUGACUAGAAUUACAGAGAUGCUUCAAUGUGGAGUUUGUAUGUCAUUAAAGCUAUCUCAUUACUUUGAUUCAUUUCCAUACACAAAACAUACUGUAGAUCUGUUAACCUGUUCUACAAAACCUUUUGAAUAACUAUAGGUUACCUUCACUAUAUACCUUUUGGUAUUCAUCAUCAUGAUUAUGUUCCAUGUUGUAUGACAAGGCAAUUAUGGUCUCACCACCUUCUUUCGGUAUUGAAACAAUUCAGUGGCUUUAACAGUAAACAAUGAUAAUGAUUUGUGAUUUGCAGAAUAUUUUUUAAUCCUGAUAGUGCUAUUUUGACAAAGCCUGGCAACGUGUCCAGCCAUUGACAUUCUUUAUUAUAAACUUGAGGAGGUUUAUAUACACAAGGAAGUAUUCAGCUUUGAUUUCGGUUAUCAAUAUUUCUGACAGUUAACUUUUAGCUUAACAUUUAACUUUUGGGUGACAGUGUGGAGAUACACCUCUACUAAAGGAGGUGUAAGGUGCUCCUUCCCUCCGCUAGUCUGCAGGUCACCCUUGGGCAAGGUGUAGCACCUGCUUAGCCCCCAUAUCAUGAUCAUGUAAGGCCAUGGGAGCAGGUGGUGGAUGGUUGUACGAGCAGCUGGUGCAUAUCAGAAGUCCUGGUUAUGCAAUCACUGACGCCAGGCAGACAAUCUCUGAAGAGUAUUGGUAACAGCUGGGGUCGCCCAUCUUGAAAAGACACUGCCCAGAAGAAGGUAGUGUAAAACCACUUCUGAAGAAAAAUUUGCCGAGAGCAAUCAAGGUCAUGAAAAGACCAUGAUCACCUAUGUCAUACGACAUGGCACAUAAUGAACAAACGAACUUUUAGAAGCCAACUUCUUAACAUCAAUCUGAAUGCAUCGAAUUGCAAAUGCUAAUGCUGGUGGUUAUUUUACAACAUCUUCAUAGAAUCAUGAGUUAACCAAAAAUAUUCUCAUCCUGCAGUGGGUUAGAAAACAGAUUUAGGUUUGAAAUUACAGAGGCAGCUCACCCGAUUGUGAUGGGUCCAAGGAAUAACAGAAAUGUCUCAGCAACUGGGACAAGCUUUCUGCUCUGCUCACAUUUCCAAAAGACAAAUAACCUGCUGGAAUCUAUGGAAUUCACUCAUUUCUCUCUCUGACAGCCAUUCCUAGGGUAGCACAGAGUGAACCAGGCCAUACCCACAACUGCCACACCCCUGGGAGGAGACUGCAAUGUUCCUUUCGCACCCCCUUCACAGAUGGGCAGAAACAGUGCUGCACCUCUUGGCUCUGUUGGAAGUUUGACAACUCUAUAAAAACACGUCUUUGAUCGGUGGAAAUACAGAAGCCAUUCAAGGAUUCGAAGCAAGGGAGACCCAAACCCUUACACAUUCAGCAAAACUGUUAAAGGCAUUUGUCUUCCAUUUGCACUUGUGGUUCACAUCAGAAUCAGGUUUAAUACCACCAGCAUAUGUCAUGAAAUGUGAUGUUUUUGCGGCAGCAAUACAAUGCAAUACAUAAUAAUAGAAAAUAAAAUGUGAAUUACAGUAAAUAGAUAUACAUAUAUCUAAUAGUGCAAAACUAGAAAUAAAAAAGCAUUGAGGUAGUGUUCACAGGUUCAAUGUCUGUUCAGAAAUCGGAUGGCAGAUGGGAAGAAGCUAUUCCUGAAUCAUUCAGAGUGUGCCUUCAAGCUUAUGUACCUCCUUCCUGAUGGUAGCAAUGAGAACAAGGCAUGUCCUGGGUGAUGGAGGUCCUUAGCGAUGGACACCACCUUUUUGAGGCAUUGCUUCUUCAAGAUGUUCUGGGUACUAAUGAGGCUAGUCAUGGAGCUGACUGAGUUUACAGCUCUCUGCAGCUGAUUUUGAUCCUGUGCAGUAGCACCCCCGCCCCCAGCCAUUACCAGACGGUGCUGCAGCCAGUCAGAAUGCUCUCCACGGUGCAUUUGUAAAAUAAGACGAAUUUGUAGAAAUUCCACAGAGAAUUGGACAAAUUCAGCCAAAAUACUGCUUGGGAAGAUUGGACGUCCCAUUGCUAAACUGUUAUACUUCCAAACAGUGUUGGCAUGUUAAAAUUACUCACAAAAUGACUAAUUUCCAUCACUGCUUUGCUAACUGGUGGUCUUUAAAUACAGUGGUGCAGAAACUGGCAUGCGAUGUAUCUACAGGUUUGAAAUGACACAAAGGCUUAACAGCAAAUGGGUAGAAUUGAAGUCACAAAGCUUAUUUAAGAAUUCACAAGGAUUCAAAUCUUUAAAAUUCUGGGCACAAUGCUUUUUUAUUAUUAAUCAGCCUACUUUCAUUGACUACACAUGUUUGCUGUCCACAGUAACAAAUGUUACAACAAUACAGUGCGUUUUGGCGAAUUCCAACACUGCUUACAUAACGAUAUGACCCACAGAGGAAUUACAUGCCUUUGAGCAAGAGUUAGCUGAGCACUGUUUACGCACUUAAACGGACUUAAACAGAAUUCCACGCAGAGAACACUUAUAAAACCAUUUGGUGAAGCUUGGUAAAGUUCAGAUUAAUCAUGGGUACCACACCUUGUUUAGACACAAACACAUACAUUCAUUCCCGUUCAUGGUGGUCGUUACAACAUGUCACACUGAACAACACAGCUUUUCGUCUGCUUCAACAAAAGCUGGCAAUUUCUGAUUUAACUGAAUACCACAGACUUUCCUCUACACUACCACACUCAUAUUUUAUUAACUGGCUUGA